CGCUCCAUUGGUCGGCUAGAAGACGGCAGCGAUGGAGGGAGAUUGGACGCUGUGGGGAAAGAGCUGAGACGUCCAACACGCAGGCGAAGAUAGUGCGUGGCUCGAAUGACUGUCGGAA
rnacentral:sRNA from 18 species